UACGGGGGGAACGAGCGUUGUUCGGAUUUACUGGGCGUAAAGGGCACGCAGGUGGGAAGGCAAGUCAGAUGUGAAACCCCAAAGCUUAACUCUGGGACUGCAUUUGAUACUGCUUUUCUUGAGUACGAGAGAGGAUGGCAGAAUUCUUGGUGUAGCGGUGAAAUGCGUAGAUAUCAAGAAGAAUACCGGUGGCGAAGGCGGCCAUCUGGCUCGAUACUGACGCUCAUGUGCGAAGGUCGGGGGAG
rnacentral:rRNA from 1 species